UACGAAGGGGGCUAGCGUUGCUCGGAAUCACUGGGCGUAAAGGGUGCGUAGGCGGGUCUUUAAGUCAGGGGUGAAAUCCUGGAGCUCAACUCCAGAACUGCCUUUGAUACUGAGGAUCUUGAGUCCGGAAGAGGAGAGUGGAAUUCCUGGUGUAGCGGUGAAAUGCGCAGAUAUCAGGAAGAACACCCGUGGCGAAGGCGGCUCUCUGGGACGGUACUGACGCUGAGACGCGAAAGCGUGGGGAGCGAACAGG
rnacentral:rRNA from 1 species